rnacentral:misc_RNA from 1 species
GGUGCACUUGCAUGCUUCAUUGUAAUUUGCAGGUCAUAAGUUCAAACCACAAGAACAGCCUACGAGCAAUGCAAGAGAAAGGCUGUUCUUGUAAAUACAAGAUUAUUGCAAACUACUAAGGAGAAAUGCAUUCUCUAUUACAUGCUAUUUUGCGUUUUGGGUUUUUAUCGUCCAAUUGUAACAAAUUAUAUUGAUAAAAAAAUGUUUAUUUUUGUUACCU